CUCCCCGCUGGACGGCAGAGUUUGUUGCAAGGGAAUAUACCCUUAUAUGGGAUAUCUGGAGUUCACCAGAGAUUCGAACUCACCAUAGUGAAGAUUGAGUUGCCAAAGUCAACAGGCCUGCGCUGAGCCCAGAGUUUAUGAGCUGGAACUAGAGGAAGGAAAUGGAACUGACUGACAUCCUGUGGGGGCGUAUGCUGGCCUGCAUGUGGGGCUACAGCCCGCGCCAGAAGGAAAAUUAGCUCCAGCUGCAGGAGGAGCAGAGGGAGCAGGAGGAGGUACACAAGGAGGUACAUGAGGAAGUAUGUGAGGAGUUGCAAAAGGAGGAGGUGCAGUGUUUUCCCCUCUGGCCGUGCAGUGACCAGACGGCCAGCAACAGCCAAACACCAUGCAGCCACACAGCACACAACUGUCACUCACCUGAAGAGGCUCCUCCUCUCCCCUGUGCGCUGUGCAGUCACUGGGUAACCAGGCAACCUCCAGUGUGAAGUAUUUCCACAUAUCAUACGGAAAACAGUACUAUCAGCUUACGUUUGAAUUACAAGGUGGAUCCAUUUGAAACCACCACCAUCCCGCGAGAAGGCGAACAUGAUAUUACUUCUGUACCGAGACCCAACAGGGGAGAAAGAUGAGGAGAAUUCUGCAUUCUCUUGACAUUCUGGAAUCCGACCACCUGAUGUGAAGUCACAUGAAUGGCAGGCUGGGAAUGGAGGGAGCCGGACGCCGCGUCGAGGUUUACGUUCUGAAGCGAGGACGCUCGGAGCUGCAGAUGGAGACUCGAGACUCGAGAAAAACAAAGGACGCGCACGCGGCUCUGGAUUUACGACCGCUUUAUAGCGCGGAAUAAUGUCUCCUAUUACCAUCACAGAGAGCCGGGGAAAUACAGCCCUCAUAAAAAUCACCAUAUUUCACUGUCAUUAAAGAUGACAUUUACUUAUUGUUGAUUCAUGGUCUGAGGGGGUGUUGGAAACCAUGCCUUUUUUUAUUUUUUUGUUUUUUAUUGCAUGGGGUAAAUAUAAAAAUACGAAAGAGAAGAAUUUGAUCAAUGUGCGAAUGAUCUGACGCAUGUGAUAAGAACAUUAGACAGUAAAAAGGAAUAGGUGAUGCCUGCGUUCUAGAAUAAACACCUACUGUAUGUA